AGUGCAGGCGGUUUUUUAAGUCUGAUGUGAAAGCCUUCGGCUUAACCGAAGAAAUGCAUUGGAAACUGGGAAACUUGAGUGCAGAAGAGGAGAGUGGAACUCCAUGUGUAGCGGUGAAAUGCGUAGAUAUAUGGAAGAACACCAGUGGCGAAGGCGGCUCUCUGGUCUGUAACUGACGCUGAGGCUCGAAAGCGUGGUAGCAAACA
rnacentral:rRNA from 1 species